CGGACGGGUGAGUAAUGUCUGGGAAACUGCCUGAUGGAGGGGGAUAACUACUGGAAACGGUAGCUAAUACCGCAUAACGUCGCAAGACCAAAGAGGGGGACCUUCGGGCCUCUUGCCAUCAGAUGUGCCCAGAUGGGAUUAGCUAGUAGGUGGGGUAACGGCUCACCUAGGCGACGAUCCCUAGCUGGUCUGAGAGGAUGACCAGCAACACUGGAACUGAGACACGGUCCAG
rnacentral:rRNA from 1 species